UACAGAGGUCUCGAGCGUUAGGCGGAAUCACUGGGCUUAAAGCGUGUGUAGGCGGGUCGUUAAGUACCUUGUGAAAUCCCACGGCUCAACCGUGGAACUGCUGGGUAUACUGGCGAUCUUGUGCAACCUAGGGGCGAGCGGAACAGAUGGUGGAGCGGUGAAAUGCGUUGAUAUCCAUAGGAACUCCGGUGGCGAAGGCGGCGAUCUGGACGGUGACUGACGCUGAGACGCGAAAGCGUGGGGAGCAAACAGG
rnacentral:rRNA from 1 species